UCGGACGUGGUGCAUGGCGCACACCUGCUCGCCCUACAUGGAUUCCACUCUAUGAGGCAGGAAGCCCGGGUUCGAUUCCUGGCGUUCGAA